AUUUACUGUGCCAGAAAAAAAAAGACAAGAGAUAAACGCAGACCUUGUUGUUUCCUUCCCAACGAAGGCAGGCGUACGUCUUCGUCUCCUCCUCUCCCUAGCGUCGCCAGCCGCACCCGCCGCCUCCUCUUCCUCUCUCUGCUUCCUUGCCCACCUCCUCUUCCUCUAGGACACGAGCGGCGGUGGCAGCGGAUCUGCGAGAAACAUUGGAAGGCAGGAGGUGGGACGGAGCAGAUUGGCGGCGGGAAGCUCCGGAAGCGGCAUGAGGCAGAGCGGAUUCGUGCGGCAACACGUCGUGGAAGGAGACGGGACGACUCGCCUCCUCGUCAUAAUCGCAACUCCCGUCCGUCCUCGCCGCGUCUCCGUCGCCGUCUCCUCUCCACGGCGAUGAGCAGCAUCCACGAGAGGAGCGUAAGGCCCGUUGUAGCCGAUGUGCGUCGUGGUUCCGGAUCGGCGCAGGUCGCCACCGUGGGAGAGGCGCAUCGUGCUUCUGGAUCGGCAGGUCGCCGCCGUGGGAGAGCAAGGGUGGCCUGGUCUUCUGGUGCUUGUGGAUGAGCAGGGGGCGGCUGAUAAGGUGGCGGUGGUAGGAGAAGGAGGAGGUCCUUGUCCUCCGCCAUCAAAUCGAGUAGGAGGAGGAGGUCUCGUCAUCCACCACAACCGUCAGGUGAUGGAUCAUCCUGAUAACCAGGUUGAGUGCAUCAGCUACUGCCAUGGCAAUGGAUUUAACGAAUGCAAACUAACAAGGCACAUCAUCUAACCGCCACCAAGGCCAUGGACAGGGACCUGUGUGUUCAUUUGAAGACAAGAAAGUGAAAGGGGCGCUUACCUACCUGGCACCGCCGAGCUUUCACCGCCAAUGGAGGUGAUUGUCUGCUCUCGGUUUCAUGGUGCCAAUGGAGGUGGGUGUGAAGUGAGCACACAGUUGUUCAUCGUUGCUGGAUAGGUUCUUCCUGGUCGUCUUCUUUUGUUGAGGCCUGACGUUACAAUCGCGUUAAGGAUGUGUCCAAUGUGGCGCUACUUGCCUAUCAUAAAUCAUGAGUUUUGUUGGCAUUGCUGGUUCAUGAAGAGUUUGACGCCACUCGACAUUUUCACCUCAAAAAUAAAAAAUUCUGAAGCCUACCAAUUCUCCUACCGAGGAUACUCCUGUCGACAGUCGAUCGACAAUAUGAGGAAAUUUUUGGAGGAGCUGGUCAUGACUUAGAAACAAAACUCCCCUGAGAAGGCAUCGCUAGUCACAUGAACUCGAGUGACCCUGCCAAGGAUCGUGCUGCUGCACAUAAUCAUUCUAUUGCUCGACGACGCAGCAGAGUAUCGGCGCGAAUUGCUCUUCUCCAGGGUGUGUACAUUCAAGAAAUGCUCUGCACAUAAUUUCUAUUUUUUCUUCCAUUCAACUAUUAAUGGAGCCAAUGGUGAAAGGUGCAAAGCAUUUUUCAUAGGUAAUUUCCCUCGGAAAUCUUGCUCGCCAGUCUCGUCUUUUUCCUUCAGGUUGGUCGUUUGUCUUUAAGUGGCAAGGUGAGCUAAUUUACUUUGUUCAAUCUAGGGUCAAGAUCCAUCUCUCCUUCGCCAUUAUUCACUUUCUAUGCAAUUAUUCCAUUGAUCCAUAAGUUUGGCAUCCUCUGUUUGAACAUUUAGCUUGCUUUUGCUGCCAAUUACAAAUUGUUUGCAUCUGAACACACUAGCCCAUUUCACCAAGGAAAUUCCAUUACUAUGCUAAAGUAAACCUGUUAUCAAUUGCAUUUUUAACCAAACUUAUUACUGCUUACUAUACUUAGUUUCUACUGAUUUUCACUAAGAAAUAUUGGAGGCUAGGUAGUUGAAUUAAAAAUCGGUCCUAUAAGCCCUAUGUAGUUCCCAUUCAUUUUAUAAAGGUAGACGAAGCACGCACGAACCAAUAGCUACUACAUGAUGCAGCUGCUCAAUGCCCAAUCCAAUUUUGCUGCAUCACAAACCUUUAAAAAGACACUUCAUCGUUUAAUCCGCAUUUUUUUCGACUUGGUACAUCCGUAAAAUGAUUGACUCCGGACUUCUUAAGCAGGCUAUAGGAAGAGGAUUUAGAGAUCCUUCUUCGCAAAAUCAGGAAAUCUAAGGGAGAUUGUUGUAAAGGCACCUAGCUAUUUCAGUAUUCUCUAAUAGUCGGUUCGGUGUCCUAUUGUUUAGUUAGUUUUGUGAACCCGCAGAAAAGCAGUACUUCUUGUUUAUUGGAACAGAAUAAUGUUAUGAUCAUCCAGAAGUUCCUUUGGAGUUUCCAUGAUCAAAAUAACUUAUAAAACAUUUUUUGUUAUGCACUAUUCAUGUUUUUUGGAAAACAGAAUAAUAUUAUGAGUAUCCAAAAGUCCCUUUGGAGUUUCAUGAUCAAAUGAACUUAAAACUUUCUUUCAUUAUGCACACUCAUGUUUUUUUGUUCAGUACAUAUAAGGUCUUGCCGAAUAAUUUCCAAAACUUCACCAAGCAAUUGUUUUUUUAGGAUUAGGUGUGGGAAAUAGGACCUCAGCUGGUAGGCCAUUCUAUGUGUGUACCAAUUCUGGUAAUACUAUUUAUUAUGUUCUCUUUAUUGCUAAUGAUGAACACCCUUCUAGUAUGACAACCUUAAAUUUCGUCAAUGUUUGGUGAUUUUUUGGUAUUUCAUUGCAGGAGACACAGUGUAGAGUCGCCAUAUCUAACUUUUACUUUGACAUUGCUGGGUGUUCGUCUUCUACGUAUUUGGUUUAUGCUCUAUUGUCUACUUACCAACAAGAAGAUGAGUUGAAUGUUUCACCUUGGCAAAGUCGUGCAUCUGUCAGCGUUUUGGUUCUUCUGGAUCUUAAAUUGUUAAAUGGUUCUGCUGUGAUAUACUACUAUACUUGUUCAACCAGGGGGCACUAAUUUAUCUUCCAGUAGAUUAAUAAAAUUUUAUUUAGAAGGUCUCUUAUCUGAUUGUCAAAUUAGAUCCUUGCAACUAAACUGUUGAACUUGCUUGCCAUCUCUUUGUUUACCGCAUCUAACCUUGAAGCCAUGUUGUACUUCUGAACUAUUGCAUUACACAUGAUUUGGUGGUUCAUCUUAGUUUACCAUGAAAAACUUUAGAGCAUGCACAUGAUUUUCUAACCAGGAACUUUUCCCAACUUGAGUAUUGAAACUUGAACUAAGAUUUUGUUCAUAAAUUGGAAAUAAGGAGGAAUUAACCAAUCAUGUUUGUAAUUACCACUAUGCAAAAUAAUGUAAAAAUCUACAUGCCGUAUAACACAAGUGCCUCGAAGCAAUGGAGCCAAAUAAAUUCAUUUUCCCAGCACCAAGAUGCUCAUGUCAGCUUCUAAGCCUGGUAUAUUUUAUGCAUGUGCACUGCGUGCAAUGAGAUUUUGUUGUUGUAUCAUCUGUGUUGCAUGUCUUCUCACCAAACUAAACCUCUUGUCAUACAGACACGUUAACAAAUACGACAACCAGAUUAGUGCGCACAAUCCCGCUUCAAGAGGCGCCACCAGGUGGCGCCCCAACAACUAGUGGUGAACAAAGCAUGC